UACGUAGGGUGCAAGCGUUAAUCGGAAUUACUGGGCGUAAAGCGUGCGCAGGCGGUGAUGUAAGACAGUUGUGAAAUCCCCGGGCUCAACCUGGGAACUGCAUCUGUGACUGCAUCGCUGGAGUACGGCAGAGGGGGAUGGAAUUCCACGUGUAGCAGUGAAAUGCGUAGAUAUGUGGAGGAACACCGAUGGCGAAGGCAGCCCCCUGGGCUAACACUGACGCUCAUGCACGAAAGCGUGGGGAGCAAACAGG
rnacentral:rRNA from 1 species